rnacentral:lncRNA from 1 species
AUUCCAAGUGAGGAAAGCUAAAAUAAUUAUUUUAGAGACUGCAUUCAAACUAAUGAAAUAAGAAGUGAGUAAAUGAUUAUUAAAAACAUUAAAUUUUGCAAAAAGGUCAAAAAUAUAAACUUUGCACUCAUGCACUGAAAUCUGGACUAAAAAGUUAUUUUUUUAUUUAUUUAUUUGUUUAAAUAAAACAUGUUUAUUCGGACAUACUUCUCAGUCUUAGUAGAAUACACUUAAAAUAUGUUAUUUUCACAACUUUCCGAUUCCCAUUGUUACUCUUUUGUCUUUGAAGAUCGUUUUUAAACAAAGUUCUUCUUACAAACAUAAACAAGCUUUAUAAAAAGUUCACAAAUGGUGUUAUAUACAAGUACUUAAUUAGCUCUGUUUUUUAUUAACAGACAACAGACAUCUUAUUGUUACAUGUAACAGUAAAUUGCUAUUUUAUCUUUGCUAAUGGAGUUUUUUCUGAAAAUAGUUGUUAAAAUCUGGCUCUUUGUUCAGUCAGACAUUUUUAUAUUAUUCAUACCAUUGUACUAUUUUCAUAGCUUGGUGGUUAUUUUCUUAGACUAAUUACAAUGUUUCAUUUCAUGUAAUAUUAUGUAAAUGGACUUUUCUACCGAAAACAUUAAAGUUUGAUUUCAUCAUAAGAAACAGCUUAAACAUGGCUAAAAGGAAGGGAACAGAUACUUAUGCCACUUUUACUGGAUGUGAUAUGAAAAAGAAAAACAAAAGAUAAAAGACAGACUAGUAUAAGAUCAUGCAGGAUUAAAGAACGCAGCUUCCCCAAAACGAUACAAAACAUCAGUGUAUGUAUGGAUGUGUAAAUGGUUGAAAUUUACACAUCUGUACAUAGACAAACUUAGAUAAUCAUACCAAUAGUACAACAUAAACAAUAAAGGAACGACAUGGAGCAUUGCCUUGGGAAGGUCAUCGCAAAAACAUCACUGAUGAGUAUAAAGUGGUUCAUGUUGCGCACCAAACCCCAUUCUUGUCCAUCAUCUUAUUCCAAAGUUACAGGACAGAGUCAAUUAAAGUUAUCCAUGUCAGGUGAAUCCCUGAUACACACAAUAAUAUCAAAAGGUUGGACAGGUGAAACACAACAAUGCUCAUGUAAUUGAUUAUACCAAUUACCUGACCAACCAUAUACGCAUGCACUCCAUGCCUUUUUUGCAAAAGACACAGCAACAAGGGAAACACCAUGAAGGGCCCGAACAAACAGGUCAGAAGACAGAUAUCAAAGCAUCAGAGUCCAAUUGGGAUUUACAAACUGCCUAUCAUGGAGUGUUCUACCUGGCCCGUCAGAUACAGUAAAAGAAAAAAACGUAGCAUCCAAUAAUAAAAAGGACUGACCACCUAAGAUGCGUCGUGUCUCAAAAUAGUCCUCUUUUAAUAAAACGUUUGUAAUUUCACUCCUUAUAAUUGUAAAAUUGCCAUGGCCAAGAAUUUUAGUUAUUAAAUGCCAAUACUUUGAAAGUCAGGCUUUUAUAUACUAUUAGAUUUUAAAACUUGAAAUGAGUUAGGACAGUAAAAUUUAGUAAAAUAUUUUUACAGUUUAUAAUAACGGUAGUCCUACAAAAAGGAAAAGUGAUAACGUUUAUUGACGUAUUCCACAAUUCAACAUCAAUGAAAUCUUAUAUAAACGUUUCAUUUGGUUCAAGAAUACUUCAAAGAAUUAAAAAAUAUUUGUGGUUUCCAGCUUAAAGUUAGAUUAAGAACUUGAAACAAGAAUUGAUCUCAAUUACAAUUAGUUGCACUUCUGUUUAUGACAAAAUUAGCAUUGACUGAUAAAUUACAAUUUCUUAUAUGACAUUCUUUAAAUCUUAGUAAUUAAUUAUACAAAUAAAGAUUAUUCCCGAUUCCCUUGUCUGCCUAUGUUAUGUAAUAGUCUGCAGAAGCUUAACGGUUCCGAAGUGUAUGCUUAUUGGCCUGUUCAUUAAUAAGGUAACGUUGGCGGCUAGUAAGAAAUUUUAGAUAACAGACAAAUAAGUAGCACAACUUCUUGACACAAACAGUAACUUACAUUACUAUUUUCAGAGAAUCUGUAAAUUGAUUCACUCACUUCGAACUAAGAUACAUAAACGAUAAGAAUCAAAACGUGGCAUUAUUUUGUAAAGCUAUAUUGUCUACCAAUUCUAAUUGCGCUUCACUGUACCAAUUCUAAUUACGCUCCCUGAACUCAAAACGGCAAAUAGAUACAGUAGUGUGGCUGGUAACCUUAACGUGUGUUAUGUCAGUAAAAUGGCCUUCAAUCAGACUCCUCUCCGUUAUUUGCCUGUCAUUUACUUGGAUCUGAAAUAAGAACAAGAUAAAUGUGUGAGACAAUGUGCUGCCAAAACGAGACUUGAAACUUGGACCUUAGACUAACAGUUACAGUGAUUUUGUUCUACAAGUUAUUAUAAGCUAUCGAGCCACCCAAACAAUUUUCCAGUCCUAUUUUCAUGUUAUAUACCGUGACGGAGAUAUUUCAUAGACUAAAUAUUACAUAAUGAAGAUGUAUAAACCAUUUCAUGAAGUAAUAUGCAUUGUAUGUAGCAAUAAUUUUACACAAAUACUUCUUUAUAGGCAAGCUCAUGAGUAGUGAUCUACGCCACGGAUACUUGUAAGGCGAAUACCACGUGAGAAGAUUUUGCACGAUUCGAAUGACUGUUACCGCAUUUUAAACUCCUUUGCAACAAGCUUCUUCCGCCAGACGACUUUUACCUUGUGAUGCUGUCACGGCCCGGAAGUACAAUACCCGAGGUUCAUUUGUCUUCACUCGCCUGGAUGUGAUUUUCCCAGCGCAGAGCUUUCGUCCCAUGGUUGUGCACUUCGAUAAAUUCCAAAACAGUUGCAACAAGGUUUUAGAAGAGUUUUCAAAACAUUUUAGUAAUUUUGACUUUAAUAUAAGAAAAACCAACGUAAGAAAAACGAUUAACAAACGCUUUAGAGCAGUACUGUAUUGUCUGUAUCUAAACAUAUUUCAGAAUGGUUGCCAGUGGCUUUAAACGCUAAUGUUUUAUAAAAAGUGAUUUUCAUGUAUUCUUGACAACAUUUUCGCAAUAUAUUAUAAGCGAUUGGAAAACGCUUUAAUGCAGUAUUGAAAACAAUUUUUCAAAACAGCUUUAAAAAUGUUUUUUCCAAGCGUCUUGGUAAUUACUGUUUUAAUGAAGCAUUGAAAACAUUUUAUAAACAUAUAAAAACGUCUGGCAAAUACUUCAGUGCAGUAUUAAAAAUGUAUGUAUCUAAA